ensembl:ncRNA ZK377.12 ncRNA
UUCUUGGAAAAUUUUCCGUUUUCCGUUUUCCGCUCUCCAAAUGAGUCCAAUUAUAAAAGGGAACCGUCACGUGGAAUGUUUCAUUCAAUUGGCCUCGGCUUCUGCUUUCCGUCGUCACCUUGUUAGGAAUAUACCGGAAUCGAAUUUGAUUGGUGUCGGGAGUGUUCAAAGUUUUGACGGAAAGACGACGACCGAGAGAUACUUUUUCUCACA